rnacentral:rRNA from 1 species
GCUUAACGCGAAGAACCUUACCACCUUUUGACAUGCCUGGACCGCCACAGAGAUGUGGCUUUCCCUUCGGGGACUAGGACACAGGUGCUGCAUGGCUGUCGUCAGCUCGUGUCGUGAGAUGUUGGGUUAAGUCCCGCAACGAGCGCAACCCUCGCCAUUAGUUGCCAUCAUUCAGUUGGGAACUCUAAUGGGACUGCCGGUGCUAAGCCGGAGGAAGGUGGGGAUGACGUCAAGUCCUCAUGGCCCUUACAGGGUGGGCUACACACGUGCUACAAUGGCGCUACAGAGGGUUAAUCCUUAAAAGUCGUACUCAGUUCGGAUUGUCUCUGCAACUCGAGGGCAUGAAGUUGGAAUCGCUAGUAAUCGCGGAUCAGCAUGCCGCGGUGAAUAC